UCGGUGUUCUCUGGGACUUCACUGUCUUU
rnacentral:piRNA from 1 species